ensembl:miRNA MIR329A microRNA mir-329a
CAGUGUAAUUGGUGGUACUUGAGGAGAGGUUUUCUAGGUCUCCGUUUCUUUCAUGAGGAUGAAACACACCUGGUUAACCUUUUUUCCAGUAUCAGAUCCCACCUUGG